rnacentral:rRNA from 2 species
GAUAGUUUAACGGAAACGCAGGUGAUAUGAGGGCAGGGUCCAGACAUGUUCAGUAGGUGGGAGUGAGAGGUGUUAUGGGUGGAGGACAAUUUUUAUUAUAUUUCAUCUAAUAGCAAUAGGAUAUGAGAGGUGAAAAAGCAAAAGCAAUAGUGCAUUGUGAUGUGGAGAAUAAGGUGCAUACGAUGAAAAAGGUGAUUUGUCAUUUACAAGAGGUAGGUCGAAACAGAACAUGAAAGUUGGUCGGUAGGUGGCAUGCAGAGGUAGUUUCAAGGUGACAGGUUAUGAAGAUAUGGUGCAAAAGACAAAUGGAUGGUGGCAGGCAUAGUAAAAUGAUGGUGUGGAAGACAUAGAUGGUAUUUGUUUUGCAUUUACGGCACCGGAUGCGGGCGAUAAUGACGGGAAGAGAUUUAGUAUGUGGGACAGAAUUUCGGCGGCAGUAUUGAGACCAUGAGAGUAGCAAACGUAAGUCUAAAGGUUGUUUUAUAGUAGUUAGGAUGUAGGAAAUGUAUUCCGAUAGGCCAUUUUACAUUUGGAGGGACGGUUGAAAGUGGACAGAGGAAAAGGUGCGGAAAUGGCUGAUUUUGAUUGUUUAUGUUUUGUGUGAUAAUUUUACAUUUUUGCAUAGUAUUAGGUAGUUAGAUGAAAGAUGAAUAGACAUAGGAGUAAGAAAACAUAGAAUAGUUACCAUUAUUGGUAGGAGUGUGGUGGGGUGGUAUAGUCCGCAUUGGGAUGUUACUUUCCUGUUAUGGCAUGGAUUUCCCUUUAGGGUCUCUGAAGCGUAUUUCCGUCACCGAAAAAGGCAGAAAAAGGGAAACUGAAGGGAGGAUAGUAGUAAAGUUUGAAUGGUGGUAGUGUAAUGUAUGAUAUCCGUUGGUUUUGGUUUCGGUUGUGAAAAGUUUUUUGGUAUGAUAUUUUGCAAGUAGCAUAUAUUUCUUGUGUGAGAAAGGUAUAUUUUGUAUGUUCCCGCGCGUUUCCGUAUUUUCCGCUUCCG